rnacentral:rRNA from 1 species
CCUACGGGAGGCUGCAGUGGGGAAUAUUGCACAAUGGGCGCAAGCCUGAUGCAGCCAUGCCGCGUGUGUGAAGAAGGCCUUCGGGUUGUAAAGCACUUUCAGCGGGGAGGAAGGCGUUAAGGUUAAUAACCUUGGCGAUUGACGUUACCCGCAGAAGAAGCACCGGCUAACUCCGUGCCAGCAGCCGCGGUAAUACGGAGGGUGCAAGCGUUAAUCGGAAUUACUGGGCGUAAAGCGCACGCAGGCGGUCUGUCAAGUCGGAUGUGAAAUCCCCGGGCUCAACCUGGGAACUGCAUUCGAAACUGGCAGGCUAGAGUCUUGUAGAGGGGGGUAGAAUUCCAGGUGUAGCGGUGAAAUGCGUAGAGAUCUGGAGGAAUACCGGUGGCGAAGGCAGCCCCCUGGACAAAGACUGACGCUCAGGUGCGAAAGCGUGGGGAGCAAACAGGAUUAGAUACCCGUGUAGUC